GGGUUGUGAGGUUAAGCGACUAAGCGUACACGGUGGAUGCCCUGGCAGUCAGAGGCGAUGAAGGACGUGCUAAUCUGCGAUAAGCGUCGGUAAGGUGAUAUGAACCGUUAUAACCGGCGAUUUCCGAAUGGGGAAACCCAGUGUGAUUCGUCACACUAUCAUUAACUGAAUCCAUAGGUUAAUGAGGCGAACCGGGGGAACUGAAACAUCUAAGUACCCCGAGGAAAAGAAAUCAACCGAGAUUCCCCCAGUAGCGGCGAGCGAACGGGGAGGAGCCCAGAGCCUGAAUCAGUGUGUGUGUUAGUGGAAGCGUCUGGAAAGGCGCGCGAUACAGGGUGACAGCCCCGUACACAAAAAUGCACAUAUUGUGAGCUCGAUGAGUAGGGCGGGACACGUGGUAUCCUGUCUGAAUAUGGGGGGACCAUCCUCCAAGGCUAAAUACUCCUGACUGACCGAUAGUGAACCAGUACCGUGAGGGAAAGGCGAAAAGAACCCCGGCGAGGGGAGUGAAAAAGAACCUGAAACCGUGUACGUACAAGCAGUGGGAGCCUCUUUAUGGGGUGACUGCGUACCUUUUGUAUAAUGGGUCAGCGACUUAUAUUCUGUAGCAAGGUUAACCGAAUAGGGGAGCCGAAGGGAAACCGAGUCUUAACUGGGCGUUAAGUUGCAGGGUAUAGACCCGAAACCCGGUGAUCUAGCCAUGGGCAGGUUGAAGGUUGGGUAACACUAACUGGAGGACCGAACCGACUAAUGUUGAAAAAUUAGCGGAUGACUUGUGGCUGGGGGUGAAAGGCCAAUCAAACCGGGAGAUAGCUGGUUCUCCCCGAAAGCUAUUUAGGUAGCGCCUCGUGAAUUCAUCUCCGGGGGUAGAGCACUGUUUCGGCAAGGGGGUCAUCCCGACUUACCAACCCGAUGCAAACUGCGAAUACCGGAGAAUGUUAUCACGGGAGACACACGGCGGGUGCUAACGUCCGUCGUGAAGAGGGAAACAACCCAGACCGCCAGCUAAGGUCCCAAAGUCAUGGUUAAGUGGGAAACGAUGUGGGAAGGCCCAGACAGCCAGGAUGUUGGCUUAGAAGCAGCCAUCAUUUAAAGAAAGCGUAAUAGCUCACUGGUCGAGUCGGCCUGCGCGGAAGAUGUAACGGGGCUAAACCAUGCACCGAAGCUGCGGCAGCGACGCUUAUGCGUUGUUGGGUAGGGGAGCGUUCUGUAAGCCUGUGAAGGUGUGCUGUGAGGCAUGCUGGAGGUAUCAGAAGUGCGAAUGCUGACAUAAGUAACGAUAAAGCGGGUGAAAAGCCCGCUCGCCGGAAGACCAAGGGUUCCUGUCCAACGUUAAUCGGGGCAGGGUGAGUCGACCCCUAAGGCGAGGCCGAAAGGCGUAGUCGAUGGGAAACAGGUUAAUAUUCCUGUACUUGGUGUUACUGCGAAGGGGGGACGGAGAAGGCUAUGUUGGCCGGGCGACGGUUGUCCCGGUUUAAGCGUGUAGGCUGGUUUUCCAGGCAAAUCCGGAAAAUCAAGGCUGAGGCGUGAUGACGAGGCACUACGGUGCUGAAGCGACAAAUGCCCUGCUUCCAGGAAAAGCCUCUAAGCAUCAGGUAACAUCGAAUCGUACCCCAAACCGACACAGGUGGUCAGGUAGAGAAUACCAAGGCGCUUGAGAGAACUCGGGUGAAGGAACUAGGCAAAAUGGUGCCGUAACUUCGGGAGAAGGCACGCUGAUAUGUAGGUGAAGCGACUUGCUCGUGGAGCUGAAAUCAGUCGAAGAUACCAGCUGGCUGCAACUGUUUAUUAAAAACACAGCACUGUGCAAACACGAAAGUGGACGUAUACGGUGUGACGCCUGCCCGGUGCCGGAAGGUUAAUUGAUGGGGUUAGCGCAAGCGAAGCUCUUGAUCGAAGCCCCGGUAAACGGCGGCCGUAACUAUAACGGUCCUAAGGUAGCGAAAUUCCUUGUCGGGUAAGUUCCGACCUGCACGAAUGGCGUAAUGAUGGCCAGGCUGUCUCCACCCGAGACUCAGUGAAAUUGAACUCGCUGUGAAGAUGCAGUGUACCCGCGGCAAGACGGAAAGACCCCGUGAACCUUUACUAUAGCUUGACACUGAACAUUGAGCCUUGAUGUGUAGGAUAGGUGGGAGGCUUUGAAGUGUGGACGCCAGUCUGCAUGGAGCCGGCCUUGAAAUACCACCCUUUAAUGUUUGAUGUUCUAACGUUGGCCCCUUAUCGGGGUUGCGGACAGUGUCUGGUGGGUAGUUUGACUGGGGCGGUCUCCUCCUAAAGAGUAACGGAGGAGCACGAAGGUUGGCUAAUCCUGGUCGGACAUCAGGAGGUUAGUGCAAUGGCAUAAGCCAGCUUGACUGCGAGCGUGACGGCGCGAGCAGGUGCGAAAGCAGGUCAUAGUGAUCCGGUGGUUCUGAAUGGAAGGGCCAUCGCUCAACGGAUAAAAGGUACUCCGGGGAUAACAGGCUGAUACCGCCCAAGAGUUCAUAUCGACGGCGGUGUUUGGCACCUCGAUGUCGGCUCAUCACAUCCUGGGGCUGAAGUAGGUCCCAAGGGUAUGGCUGUUCGCCAUUUAAAGUGGUACGCGAGCUGGGUUUAGAACGUCGUGAGACAGUUCGGUCCCUAUCUGCCGUGGGCGCUGGAGAACUGAGGGGGGCUGCUCCUAGUACGAGAGGACCGGAGUGGACGCAUCACUGGUGUUCGGGUUGUCAUGCCAAUGGCACUGCCCGGUAGCUAAAUGCGGAAGAGAUAAGUGCUGAAAGCAUCUAAGCACGAAACUUGCCCCGAGAUGAGUUCUCCCUGACCCUUUAAGGGUCCUGAAGGAACGUUGAAGACGACGACGUUGAUAGGCCGGGUGUGUAAGCGCAGCGAUGCGUUGAGCUAACCGGUACUAAUGAACCGUGAGGCUUAACCUUACAACGCCGAAGGUGUUU
rnacentral:rRNA from 1 species